AUAGGAAAUAAAAAGGCAUCUUUUUAUUUUUAAAAGACCUUCUUCGGAGGGUAUGCUUAAAGAGGGGCUUGCGUCACAUUAGUUAGUUGGUAGGGUAAUGGCCUACCAAGACGAUGAUGUGUAGCUGGACUGAGAGGUUGAACAGCCACAUUGGGACUGAGACACGGCCCAAACUCCUACGGGAGGCAGCAGUAGGGAAUUUUCGGCAAUGGAGGAAACUCUGACCGAGCAACGCCGCGUGAACGACGAAGUACUUCGGUAUGUAAAGUUCUUUUAUUGAAGAAGAAACAAUAGUGGAAAAACUAUCUUGACGUUAUUCAAUGAAUAAGCCCCGGCUAACUAUGUGCCAGCAGCCGCGGUAAUACAUAGGGGGCGAGCGUUAUCCGGAAUUAUUGGGCGUAAAGGGUGCGUAGGCGGUUUAAUAAGUCUCUAGUUUAAUUUCAACGCUUAACGUUGUCCUGCUAGAGAAACUGUUUGACUAGAGUGAGAUAGAGGUAAGCGGAAUUCCAUGUGUAGCGGUAAAAUGUGUAAAUAUAUGGAGGAACACCAGAGGCGUAGGCGGCUUACUGGGUCUUUACUGACGCUGAUGCACGAAAGCGUGGGGAGCAAACAGGAUUAGAUACCCUGGUAGUCCACGCCGUAAACUAUGAGUACUAAGUGUCGGGGUUAAACUCGGUACUGAAGUUAACACAUUAAGUACUCCGCCUGAGUAGUACGUACGCAAGUAUGAAACUUAAAGGAAUUGACGGGAUCCCGCACAAGCGGUGGAUCAUGUUGUUUAAUUCGAAGAUACACGAAAAACCUUACCAGGUCUUGACAUACUCUGCAAAACUAUAGAAAUAUAGUGGAGGUUAUCAGGGAUACAGGUGGUGCAUGGUUGUCGUCAGCUCGUGUCGUGAGAUGUUAGGUUAAGUUCUAAAACGAGCGCAACCCCUGUCGUUAAUUGCCAGCACGUUAUGGUGGGGACUUUAGCGAGACUGCCAAUGAAAAAUUGGAGGAAGGUGGGGAUUACGUCAAAUCAUCAUGCCCCUUAUGAUCUGGGCUACAAACGUGAUACAAUGGCUAUUACAAAGAGUGGCUUAAACGCGAGUUUUUGGCAAAUCUCAAAAAAAUAGUCUUAGUUCGGAUUGAAGUCUGCAACUCGACUUCAUGAAGUUGGAAUCGCUAGUAAUCGCGAAUCAGCAUGUCGCGGUGAAUACGUUCUCGGGGUUUGUACACACCGCCCGUCAAACCACGAAAGUGGACAAUACCCGAAAGCGAUAGCCUAACUGCGCAAGCAGAGGGUC
rnacentral:rRNA from 1 species